AGUGGACGCUGGCGGUAGGCCUAACACGUGCAAGUCGAACGGCAGCACAGUAAGAGCUUGCUCUUACGGGUGGCGAGUGGCGGACGGGUGAGGAAUACAUCGGAAUCUACUUUUUCGUGGGGGAUAACGUAGGGAAACUUACGCUAAUACCGCAUACGACCUACGGGUGAAAGCAGGGGAUCUUCGGACCUUGCGCGAUUGAAUGAGCCGAUGUCGGAUUAGCUAGUUGGCGGGGUAAAGGCCCACCAAGGCGACGAUCCGUAGCUGGUCUGAGAGGAUGAUCAGCCACACUGGAACUGAGACACGGUCCAGACUCCUACGGGAGGCAGCAGUGGGGAAUAUUGGACAAUGGGCGCAAGCCUGAUCCAGCCAUACCGCGUGGGUGAAGAAGGCCUUCGGGUUGUAAAGCCCUUUUGUUGGGAAAGAAAAGCAGCAGGUUAAUACCCCGCUGUUCUGACGGUACCCAAAGAAUAAGCACCGGCUAACUUCGUG
rnacentral:rRNA from 1 species